rnacentral:rRNA from 1 species
GACGAACGCUGGCGGCGUGCUUAACACAUGCAAGUCGAACGGUAAGGCCCUUCGGGGUACACGAGUGGCGAACGGGUGAGUAACACGUGGGUGAUCUGCCCUGCACUUCGGGAUAAGCCUGGGAAACUGGGUCUAAUACCGGAUAGGACCACUGCCUGCAUGGGUGGUGGUGGAAAGCUUUUGCGGUGUGGGAUGGGCCCGCGGCCUAUCAGCUUGUUGGUGGGGUGAUGGCCUACCAAGGCGACGACGGGGAGCCGGCCUGAGAGGGUGACCGGAACACUGGGACUGAGAUACGGCCCAGACUCCUACGGGAGGCAGCAGUGGGGAAUAUUGCACAAUGGGCGCAAGCCUGAUGCAGCGACGCCGCGUGAGGGAUGACGGCCUUCGGGUUGUAAACCUCUUUCAGCACCGACGAAGCGCAAGUGACGGUAGGUGCAGAAGAAGGACCGGCCAACUACGUGCCAGCCGCCGCCGCGG